GAUGGUUUUAAUACAUACACAAAUUAAGUUUUAAAAACCUAAAAUGGAACAAUGUAUAUUGGCUCCAUAUCACAAGUGGUAUUUUGUGUGAUUAGUUGGGUUUACAAUAACUUACAAGAUUGCUAAUAGUUUAAUGAUUUGGUGUGAUUUAGUGAUUACUGAUCUCUAAAAAAUCAAUAGUAUAAUUUCCAUUUUGUGUUUAUUCUAUGGUACCUAAUGGUGUGCAGUUAUUUAAUUCAUUUGUUUAUUGUAUUUACAACAUGGCCUUGCUGUUUAAAAAUGACUAUUUGAUAGGCAAGGCUAAACUAUAUGGAAUCUAGUUUGUUUAAUAAUGAGUGGGCAUCAUUCAACACGAGAAAUCAGUGUUGUCUUCUAAAUGUGAAGAUGUUUCUCACUUUUUUGUUUUGAUAUUUUAAUGUUAAAAAUUUUACAGUUCAUAUUUAGAGAUAGCUAUCAUUUAUAUGUAUAAACUUUUGAAUACCUGCUGUAUAAAAGGUUCUACACAAUGAUGACUAGUGCUUGUGUUGUGAAAGGUAGGAUUUUAUUAAUCAUCUAUUAAGUGUCUUGUAGGUUUAACUUGUGAUCUAUGACAGAAGAAAUUUGUUGUUACAGGGAGUUAUUUCAUGAGAAAUUAGAGCUUGAUUUUGCCUUAUAAAAAUGGGUUACAUUUCUAAUACAAUUCUAGUACGUGUUGGUAAUCUUUUAAAAAUGUGUUUCUCUUGUAAGUAUUUUAAUCAUAGUUGAUCAUCUUUUUUUCUUCUUUAAAGAGUUUAGAGGGUCAGGUAAGCAGGAUGGGUUUUACUGAAAGUCUUAAUCUUUCCUAAGGGUAGAGUUUCAUUGAGUUCAUAUUACGUCAUUUUUCAUGAAUCAUAAUACAUCCCAUUUGGGAUAGAUCUGUGUGGAACUUAUCUUAAAGAGUCUCAUUACUGACGACCCUUGUUAAAUAGAUGUCAAGAGAUGGCCUCAUCAGCAAGGUGUGUGUGUUUACAGCGCAGCAUUGUGGUCAGACAUUAGUUAUAUAUUGUGUCCAUUUUGGGGCAUUUAAAAAUGAAGGCUAUUUACUUAUUGCACUUACUCUAUAUAUCAAAGAUAAAUGUUUCCUAUUAUCCAUUCUAAAGUAUUCUGUAGAGUUACAACAUGUUAAUUUGUUUUUAAAUACCCUCUGUAUUUUAAAAUAUUGGAAGAUGUUAGAUUUAUAUCCUAAUUGAAUUAUCAAAUGAUAUACAUUAGCAAGCAGAAUUUUAAUUGUAGUUGAAGAGUCUUUGAGUUUUUAUGAGAAUGUGGUGCCGAAUUAAAUAUGUUUGAUGCUUGGUUGCUUGAAGUGCUUUUCUUUUUUUUUCUUUUUUUUUUUUAUUAUUUUUUUUGAAGCGUUUUCUUUUUUGACAACUUUCAUAUUUUUGGAAGAAAAUAAAAAGUCUCCUAGUUGUAUUAUGAUUGGAAGAAAAAUACUGAGAGAAAACUAUUAUCAGGUUUGAUUAAAAUUAUGCAAGUUUGGGGUGAUAUUUAGUGUGCUAUUUCACUUUUUUGAUAUAAGAAAACUAUUUUGAAAUAUAGUACAUUUAAAGUUUAUUGACUGUAACAUUACUAAAAUUAUAUAUAACUUUUCACCUCACCAUUCAGAUGCACAAAAGUUAAAUUAUAAAGGGGAGAAUCUUCAUGAUCUUACUAAGGUAUUUCUGUUUUUAACAACAGAUUCAAAAUAAGUAAAACCAAAAAUAGGUCACUCAAGCACAUUUUCUUCUUACUUCUCUAGAUCUUAUAAGCUCUAGAUAGAUUCUAAAGAAAAUACAUUACAAUUUUUUUGAAUGUAUUUUUCUUUUUUGCUUCAAUAAUAAUGUGACCUUACUGAUAUGCUCUUUUCCUAAGUUUUUAUUAUUUUUGCUUUCUAAUGAGCUGCAUUUUUGCAACCUUGUUAGUUGAUCAGUUUCAAAAAAAAUAUUCAUCUAUCAUUCUUAAGUGAUUUUUAGAGAUAGUUGUCAUAUUGAACAUAAUGAUGUAUUACAUGGCACUUAUAUUUUUCUUCAUAAAACUAAAUAAAAUGGAAAAACUUUUUAAAAUAGGAAAAUAAGACAAUAAAUGGUCUUAAUAUUUCAAUGGGUUAUAAAAUUCACCUAUUAAAUUGGUGUUAUGAUACCUGUCCUACCUAGGAUGUAAGAUUACAGACUAAAACAAGAUUAGAGCUUUUAAAGGAUUUUAUAAGCUAUAAGUGUUAUAUAAAUAUAUUAUUACUCCAAAUGUUAGGACUCCAGAGAUUUUCUUGCCUUAUUUUAGAAUGAUGAAAUGAAAUAAAUGUAUUUUAUCACUUUUAUAAGUAGUAAUUUCAGAAACUGAAUGUUAUUUUUUGCUUUUUUGUGGGGGCUAAUAUCUAGGUUGUAUAGACAGACCAUUUAAGUUUCUAAUACUAUAUUAAUCUGAAUUAAAUUUGUAAUGUGGAAGAAGAAAUACUCAGAUUAAAAACAAAAUUUAGGAUUAAAGUUAAUAAUAUCAAUUUGUUAUUUGUUAAUUAUAAUAUCAAAUGUGCCAGUCAUUAUAGUAGAACAUUAAAUUAUAAAUUAUUUCCCUUGUGCUAUUUUUCUGAAUUCACUUAUGGGAAAUCUUAGCAAUUUGCUGUUUCACACCAAAUUAUAAAUUGAAUCUUUUUAAACAUAGUUUAAAAACUUCUUGACUCUACCAUUUCAAUACUGGCCGACAGUGUAAAGUUUAUGGUUAUUUUUAAGAGUAUUUUUGAAGUCAUAGAUUUUUUCUCUUUACCACAGUUCAGGGGAAUAUAUUCAGAAGACUGUAGAAAAAUGUUAGUGUUUAAGGUUACUCAGUUACUUAUUAAGUAUUAGUAGUAUUUUAAGGAAAAUGUUUUAAAUACGGUCUUUUUUUUUUGCUUUCAUUUUAGGUGUUUAAAUUGUUGUAUUUUGAAAUAAUUUCAAAGUAGAAGUGUUACAAAAAUAGUACAAAGAAGUCCUAUACCCUUUGCCUAGAAUUAUUAAUUUUUAGCAUUUUGCCACCAAAUAUGGUAUUUCCCGUUAUCCUCUAUUUUGACUGUGAAUGCAUUUUUCAUUAUGGUAACUAUUCAUAGUGCUAUGAUUUUUGUUUCUAGAUCUUUUAUUAUCAGAACCUUCUUCACAUAGUUUUUGUAAAAUUUUUAUUAUAAAGUUACUAUAUUGGAUGUUCAAAAAAUAGUUUUAGAUAUAUUUGGGACUGAGGCAUUAAAUACAGUGUGCAGAAUUAUAAAUGGCGAUAUGAACCUAAAUAUUUUACAGAAUCUGUUGUGUUCAUUUUCUCUGAGGCUGACGAGUGAAACGAUAGCUCUUAUCUUAGUAGUGGGUAGAGGAAUAAUGGAAAUAUAGUAAUAUAUAAAUAUAAACAAUUGAAGAUAAUUACCAAACUCAAUACUAGACUGUUUCAUCCUUCUUUUGCUGAGGUCUAACUCUUGCUGAAAUGUAAAUGAGCUGAAUAGUUUAGUAUAGCUACUAAGGUUAUAUUUUGCAGUUGUUAGCUUGCUAUAAAUGAAUGACAGAACUAGGUCUGUCUGUUUUAAUUCCUUCCUCACUAACACAGUGAUGUAUUUCCAUGUAGCAAAAGGUAGAGUUAGCAUUAAAUGGCCUUAAGCUUCUGCUUUUUGAAGAUACAUGGCCCAUUGUUUUCACAUUGAAAUAUUUGCUUUCAAAGCAUGUUUAUCCAGUCUGGGUGCGCAAGUUUGGAAGUAAAUGUAGGUGUUUGGUAGGGCUUAUUCCAGAAGAAUUGUGAUCCCAGUUACUUACCUGAAUAGAAUGGCUUAUAUAUACAUUGGUGGUGUUAGAAGAAUUAUUAUCAGGUAGCAAGUUGGGAGAGGUGAAUUCUUCUUUCUAACACCUUGCAAUUGUCUAAUUUAUGCACCAUUUGAAAACAAAAUUCUCCUGUCUAUUCAGUGGGUAAGAAGUGAAGAAGAACUGAAAGUGGAAGUUGGAAGGACAAAUAAAGUAGCAUGAGCAUUGGAUAGUUGUUGAAUCUUUAGCAACUGAGAUUUGGCUGUAUGUAAAUGUUCACUUCCACUUAAAAAUAUGACAGAAACAAUCAGUUGGAGUUUGUUAAGUGAUUCAAUUUAAAUUCAGUUGUAUUUCAUACAAGUAAUUUUGGUCUGACCUGAAAACAGGAAAUCGAUGACUGCCAUUAGCUUAUUAUGGCGGAAUGAGGGAAGAGUAUGCUGUAACUACUGGUAUGACUAGGCACUAACUUUGAAAUUGUCAGUAUUGGGCAUUUUAAUUAGAAGGUCCUGAAAAAAGAAUAUAUAUUUGUGAAUGUUAUAUAGAAUAACAUAUAUUUGUGUUUCCUCAGAAUAGUGAAAAAUUUACAUACUUGUAUUUUUAAGGAUAGAAAUGAUUUUGCUCCAUUAAAGUACUUUUUAAGUAACAAAUUCAGGAUUAGAAUAGCAGGCUUAUUUUCCUUAAGUUUUACAGGGCUCUUCAACUGAAACUUAGGUUUAUAAAAGUUAGGGGUUUUUGCUCACACUUUGGCAUUUGUGCAGUGUCGUAACAUGUGUGACUGCUUAAAUAGAAGAUACGUGUGAAAUUACUCUCAUCCCACUGUUGGGUUGCCUCCCAGCAAUGGCUUGUACUGCUAUAAUCAGGCAAUCUGCUACUCAGGAUAUUUAAGUUUAGAAAAAGGAGAUUCUAUUUUUUUUUUUUUAAAUAGGAAUGAGGGAACUUGCUUUUCUACAUGGAAAGGUUGCCAUACUAGCUAUGGUUGCAUCAGAAGUAGAGGUAGUUCAUGACCUACAAAUGAGCAGUUUCCAGCAUUGAAUUUUUAAAGAUGUGCUUUUUUUUAAGGAGUUGAGUGAAACUAGGAACACCUUUUCCUAGGAGUGUUUUAUGUAAUGUGUUUCUAAGCUAGUCUACGUAGCAUUUCCUAUGAACUAUAAUACUGCUGCGAUUAUGAGGCCUAGCUGCUUUUGAUAAGAAUAUUUCUAUAGAAAAAUAUCUUCAGAGCACUAGGUUAGGAGAUUCAGAGGACACAUUUCUGUCUUUUCAUGAUGACUCCAAAGACCUGGACAGGAACUUCAGCAGUGAGCUAGCUGGGGGCACAGAAGUAGGUGUUGGAAUCUGGGGAACAGGUUUUUUACUUUGGAAACUAAAGGGUCUGACUAGAAUUCUUCCAUUGAAAAUACCUAGAACACACUCAUUAUUUCUGGCAUUGGGCCUUCAUCUCUUCUUUUCUUAGGUUCAUUACUAGCCUCUUGUUAUCAUCCACUCUUUUUGUAACUAGGAUUUUUUUUUCCCUUUCUUCAACUAAGACACAAAAUAGUGUUAGUAUUCCCUUCUCUUUUCCUAUCAUCAGAGCAAGUCUUCUAUCUUUUUGAGGUUUUCUAAGAGUUUAUACAAAUAACAGAGAUUUGGAGAAGGAAUAAAAAACACUUAGGGAAAGCUCAGUCCAAGGACAGAUAGCAGUGGUGGAUAUUUGGGGAUUCAGAAACCAAAAGUCAUUUUCUGUAUAGACUUCAUUGUUGCAUCUCCAAGGGAGAUCAUGAAAAGAAUUAGUGUUAAAAAUGUAUGUGAAGGAAGGGUAGGUAGGUUAACUUUUUUGCAAUGGGGAACUGAAAGUAGAAUGCGAUCAUUUCAGUGGUGCUUACCUUUCCCUUAUUUCCAUUUCCUCUUUAGUCCCAAAUUUAAUUUGUGUUGACCUGGUCCUGACUUGUUCCCUACUUGAAGCCAGAAUGGUGAUGGCUGGAGUUCUCUGAAGAAGUUUGCCGACAGUUUGGCUAGGAGAGGAAAGGAGAUUAAAUCUCUACAGGCAGCAGCAGAUAGUGAAGGAAAAUUAUCCGUGGAUUUUCAGUCUUGGGCCAUGUAGGACAUGUGUAAGUAGGUGAUGCUUGCAAGUCACAUACUGCUUUUUGUUUAAAGCAAAAGAAGCCUAUGUUCCACACUUUGAUGUUAAAUAAUGAUGUAAUGGUUAUUUAAUAGGGCAGUGGUAGAGGGCCCUGCAAGAAAAUUAAGUAAGUAUCCUAACAUACAUAAUUUAUUGAUUCUUCAGUAGAUAUAGCUCUAAAUUGGUUUUUUUUUUUUUUGAGACAAUUUAAAAAAAUACCUUAAGAGUUCUAAGGGAAUUUUUUUUAAUGUAAGAAACUUGCUAAAGUUUCAAAUGAUACACGUUGCAACCAUAGUUAGGUUAUUUAUUGAAGCUACACAGUUUAAAUGGGCAAUUUCUGACGUAAUUAAACAUUGUGGGAUAUAGAUAGUCUUAGAGGAUUAUUAAAUGAAAACAGGGUGGGUAAAUUUGGAGUAGAGGAUUUUUUCAAAAAAUGAUUUCUUAGAGUAAAACAGUUUUUAAGUUUGGUAAUAGGGAGCUACUUGGGUAGAAAAGGAAUAGUUCAUAUAUUAUGGGUCAGGGUAAAUGAAUAGUGUGGAAAGUGCUUUUUUCUUAACCUCACUGUCCUUUUGCAGCUACUGGAAAUGGUAGUCCACUCACAAAUUUUACCUGUUUUGUGAGACCUUGCAGUUUUAAAACUGUGAUCUUCUAUAGGAUAUCCUGUUUCAGAACAUCCUGGUGAUGGUUAGGAAGGCCUGAAUAAUUCUCAAUUAUUUAAAAGUAGCUGUUAAUGCACAGAAAUUCACCUGCCCUGAAAGACCUUAAAUAUUUAAUUUAUAGAAUGAUACUUUGCAUUUGAUAGAAAUUUUAAAUUUUAGAAAAACUUUUUAGUGAUUUUUAGCUGUCAGACUUACCCUAAAUAGAAUAGUUUUCAUUUGAAUUAUUAGAUAUGGAGUAUUAUUUUAAACAUAAACAGAUGAGAAGAGGUAGAGAAUCCUUUUAUUUCUUUAUUUUGCUUUUUAAAAUUACAAAAUCAGUACAUCGUCAUUAAGGAAAGCUUGAAAAACACAAAGCCAAAAUGGCAGAAAUCACAAAUUACCCAGAACCCAAAGACAAAUCAAUCACUGUUUAUACCUGAAUGAAUAUUGUCAGGAUUUUUCUAUGUAAAUAUAAUUUGUAUUUUCCAAAAAAUGUUAGGUUUUAUAUAUGACUUCACUAAUUAAUAUAUUUUAAACAUUAUCCUAUAACAAGAAGUAAUUUGGGAGAACAUCUACAGAAGAGUUUACACCAUAGACUAGAUAACUAAAGGUCACUCAUUUAAAUUUAAACCUUUUCAACCUUUCUAAAAUACUUUGUUAAAGAGAAUAUAUUAAGAUAGACUUUCUGGUUGAUUCAGGGUUAUCACUAUAACUAUCAAUACGUAUAGGAGUACUUGACUUGAUAGUCAGUGGCCCCAGACCAUUAUUUUUUAGGUUUCAUGAUGGAUACCUAAAAACAAUGUGUUCAGUACAAAAGAGAGGGAUAGUGUAAUAACCAAUAAAUGACAGUGAUUGAAGUAGACAUAAUCAUGACAGUGAAUUAAUAUAUUUAAUGGCAUGGAACAAUUACUAGUGUCAGUACUUUGGGUUUUUUGUAUACCAACUAGUGAUAAUGAGAGAAGAGAGAGAGUAUGAAGGUUCAAGUUCUCUUUUAUGUAAGACUUUCAAAUUGCACAUAACUUAAAAUACUAUGAUUCAACACUCUAUGGACAUCAUGAUGGAAAAAUGGCAGCCUUAUUCUUUAUACUGAGAAUGAUAAAGUACUUGACAGACCCACAGUGAAAGGCCCCUUUACUUAAAAGAAGUAAGAGUCUGGCUAGAUAACUUGCUCCAAGGUAAAUAAUAAUACUUAACAUGUGAAUCCAGCACUCUGUGAUAUACUUUACCUAUUUUAACUAGAUUAAUUCUCAUACCAUCUCUAUGAGGUAGGUAAUAUUAUGUCCAUUUUUCAUAUGAGGAGACUUGAAGCACAGAGAAAUGAAAGCUAGUAAGUUUCAGGGCCAAACUUAGAAUCUGGACACUAUCUCAUUAAAAUCCAUGUGCUUAACCACUACUUUGUGCUGCCUCUGUUACAGCAAAUAAGGCCUAAUGUUGUUUUAGGCAUAAAAGUAGUAAAAAUUCCUUUUGGAGACCUGUAUCCUUUAGUAAUUUAUAUUAAAUGUAUAACCACUAUUGUGUCCUUCUCAUUCAUUUCAGAGCAUUACAAAAUUAAAUCUAUAGGCCUACUUGAGGCACUGGGAAGUAUAUUUUCCCUAUAUCUAAAUGCUCGUAGGAUAAUAACAAUAAUAAAUAUACUUACAUGUUUUUCAAGAAAAUGUAUAAAAAUUUACCCCCAAAGUAAAAAGAUCCUUUAAAAAUAUACAAAUUCAUGUAUCUCCAUUAAUGUAGACAAUUACGAAUAAGAUUUAAAAAUUCCAGUGUAAUGGCCCUUAGAUAUCAGAGUCUGCUCUGAGUACUACAGUGGUACUUUUAGAUCAGUUUUACUUUGCUAGUAAAGGCUCAAGCAGUAGGUUUGGAUAUAAAUGUAGUAGAUCCAAACUGUCAGGUUUGGUGGUUGUUGUUGUUGUUGUUGUUGUUGUUGUUUUAAAUAGGAAUGGAAGUGAGCAGAUGUAUUAAACAGUAAAGGUCAAUAUUUUUUUUUGAGUUUAUUUAUUUAUUUUGAAAGAGAGAGAGUUGAAGGGGCAGAGAGAGGCAGAGAGAGACAAUACCAAGCAAGCGCCAUACUAUCAGUAUGGAGCCUGAUGCGUGGUUUGAGCUCACGAACUGCAAGAUCAUGACCUGAGCUGAAAUAAAGUGUCAGAUGCUCAACUCACUGAACCACCCAGGUGUACCAAGAUCAAUAUUGUUUUGAGAAACUUUAGUUUCAGAACUAGAUAGGUAAAUGUAUGGAUGUUUCUUUCUGUGGAGAUGGCUCAAAACUGUUGGAAAAGGACCCUUAGCAACUGCUUGAGUAUUGACUCUAACUACCUCCUGUAAACGGAGACUGCUAAAUAAUUCUUAGUCUUAUUCUCUUUCUGUAUAAACCUUUAUUUUCAGUUCAAACUGAGUAAUGCUCAAAGCUCAGUUGUACUGAACUCAUAAUCUUAUCUAUCUCUUUGAAUCUAUUUUUCUUUUGAGUUCUUGUUCUUGGGUGAAAUCCUUCAAUGUUUGUUUCCGUAGAGAUUCCACAUUCCUUAGAAUGGUUAGCAGUAUCCCUCUUGGCUUGACUUCCACUUAGCAAAUCUUGCUCCUACUAUGCCCUUACAAACCUACCGUGCCUUAGCUGAAUUCACAUGUAGUUUUCUGGACAUGAUGUUCACACUUACUUUCCUGCUCAAAUUUCUCUUUCCCCUCUUUUCCAUCAGGCUCAUCUUUUAAGACUUGUUGGUUUAUGACAGCUUUAUCAGGUAGGUAUUCUUAUCUCUACAUUUUUCAUAUGAGGAAAUUAAAGCUUAGAAAGUUUAUCUUUCUCAAGAACUGAUCAAAUUCCUGUCUUAGAAAUUAGAAAUUGGGAAAAUGAAUCCAUUCCUCAUAGAAAAAUUUUAUUGUAGACAUACAGUAGAGAAUCAGUUCCUAAUGGAAAAACUUUAUUUUUAUUUUAUCAUAGAGCAAGAUCAGGAAGAGAUCUCCCUCCACACAGGGGAAGGAAAUUGUUUUUUUUUUUUUUAUUAUGUAUGAGGCUGAGAUUGAAGGUGAUGGAAAGGAAAUAAUUGAAUAUGAGGGGUCGAAACACCAUGUGAGGAGAGAGGGUAAGGGCUCUCUUGGUGGCUAGGUCUUUUCAUUCUUGUGUUGAUAACUGUAAGAGACUUCCUUUCUCUGGAGUUCAUUUGAAUUGAUUUUUGGUUCUUUGUGACCUAAAGGUCCAAAUUAAAGCAGACCUGUAUAUUUGCAUAUAUUUGCUAGCUUAGUUUCAGUUAAGUAGAGGAAAUCUUGACUGAAAAGUGAUUAUAUUCCAGAAGUGUAUUUAUGAAUUUGAUUGGAAUCUAGAAAAUGGUUUCUCAUGAAAACAAUUAUAAGUGAUAAUUAUAUUCUUUAGUUAGUUCAUAUAGGUUAUAUCAGGUUGAACUACUCUAUAUUAUUAUGUAAUAAAAAUAGAUAACACUAUUGAAAUAUGUUUAUUAAAGUAAAGUCAGUGAUUCAAAUGAAGACUAAAAUAGUUUUUCUCAAAUGCUGGUACCUGAAGAAAAGCAGAUUUAAUUAAAGAAGCAUAGGGUAGUAGAUAUAAAUUUACAUGACAGUUUUGGCUGCUUCAUAUUUAUUUAAAACAACUGUAUUGAAGGUGUUUAGUAUCCAUGACAGAUAAUUUGUGUUUAAAACUCUAAUGAAAUGAGAAAGGAUGGAGAUAUAUUUCUUUGGUCUGUGAAAGAUAGAGGGAAAGGAACAUGAUACAUGAUCCCUACCUCCUAUGUUAAAAGCAUUAUUUGUGGGCACUAAAUUUCUGUUCAUUGGUUCUCAAACUCUUCGGUCUAUGGACCACUUUAUACUUUUAAAAGUUAUUCAGGACACCAAUGAGUUUUUGUUUAUGUUGUUAUGUCUAUUGAUAUUUUUUGUACUUGAAAUUAAAAAAAAUAUUGAAUAUAGAAACAUACAUUCCAUUAGUCAUCAGAGUGAUUAUGUUAUCACAAGGUCAUAUAGUGUCUGAGAAACUCCACUGUAUACUCAGAAAAUGAGAGUAGAAAAGGCAUUUAACCUGUUAGCCAUAUUAUUAAAAUAGUUUUGACUUUAUAGCUAUCCUGAUCAGGUCCUGAGUGAGAAACCCUGGAUCAAACUUUGAAGACUGCUCCUGUAGUUAUAGUAAUUCUGUUUUGAAACUCUUUAUUUUAAAUGGGAGAAGACUUUAGUCUUCUAAAGUUGAUGCAAGAAAUAAACUGUUUUCAGAAUGUGUAUAUUUUAUGUUGAGCAAACUCAUCACUCUUAAAUUCAGUUAUUUUACAUAAUGAAAGAAAACAAUUUGAAUGGAUAGUGUUGAUUGUAGGUGUGUGUGUGUGUGUGUGUGUGUGUGUGUUGGGGAGAAGUGUUUUGGUCAAAUGGAAUUGAGCUGGUACUGGAAAUGUGAUCUCUGUGGCUCAUCUAAUGGUGGUCAUUUUGCUCUGUUUUUAGCCAUACAUUGUGGUUCACUAUAUGGCUGUUACUUGAGUCCUAUACCAGGUAAUUUAGAGACCACAGUUAGUAAAGGGAGUAUAUUUUCAAGCAUUCUUAUAUAUGAAAGAAUCUCAUAAUCUUUCUGAGCCUUAGGAAGGAUGUUUAUAUUACGACUUAAGCACUUUUGUGUUGUUACUAACACUAGCUGGAUUUGAACCAGGGACUUUAAUGUAAUGGUGAAGCUGUACAAUUUGGUGUACAACUGUUUUUAAAAAAAAGAAAAAUUUUUAACAUUUAUUCAUUUUGAAAGGCAGAGAGAGACAAAGCGCAAAUGGGUGAGGGGCAGAGAGAGAGGGAGACACAGAAACAGAAGCAGGCUCCAGGCUCUGAGCUAUCAGCACAGAACCCAACGCAGGGCUCGAACUCUCAGACCGUGAGAUCAUGACCUGAGCUGAAACCGACUGAGCCACCCAGACACCCCUACAACUGUUUUUUUUAAAAAGUCGGUAGUAUUUGCCCCUUAUGUAUUAGGUACUCUAUUUAGUAAGUGCAUGCAAAUCACCUUUUUUUUUUCCCCUUUACAUUGAGUUACAUGUUAACUUAAUUGUAACAUUUUUGGCUGAGAGGAAUUCUGUGCCUUCCUUUUAAGUAAUCUGCACCCCAUCUGGGGCUUGAACUAUGACCCUGGUUUCAGGAGUCACAUGCUCUACUGAUUGAGCCAGCCAGGCAUCUCAAUUCUGUGGCUUUUUAAUAAAAUAAACAAAAUUAUUUUGAACUAUGAAUUAUCACCAGUUUUUCAUUCAGCAUAGGUUUUUCUUAAAAAAAAAAAAAAAGAACAAAUUAUA